rnacentral:rRNA from 1 species
UACGGGGGGGAGCAAGCGUUGUUCGGAUUUACUGGGCGUAAAGGGCGCGUAGGCGGCGUGACAAGUCACUUGUGAAAUCUCCGGGCUUAACUCGGAACGGUCAAGUGAUACUGUCGUGCUAGAGUACAGAAGGGGCAACUGGAAUUCUCGGUGUAGCGGUGAAAUGCGUAGAUAUCGAGAGGAACACCUGCGGCGAAGGCGGGGUUGCUGGGCUGAUACUGACGCUGAGGAGCGAAAGUGUGGGGGAGCGAACAGG